CCCAAUUUCUCAUCACAGGUUAUUCUCGCUCUGGGCAGUUUCCUUAGAGUUACUGGCGAUAACCCUUCCGUUCUGCAAAGAUGAACAGAUCGACGUCUUGAAAGGACCCCACUGCCGGCGGGUGUGGGAAAUACAGAGGCGGAAAUUUGGUCCCGGAGAGAAGAGACCUCCCCUCUCAAGCUGGAAGACACGACCAGAACAUAAAAAGUCGAGUUUAUGGCCCCGGGGCGGAAUAGGCCCUUCAUCUUGGCCUCGUACUCUGUCAUCGCCUCCUGCUGGAACUGUGGGGACAGUGAAGACCACCCCCUGGCUCAGGAUGGGCCACCUGCCCCCCUUCCUCCCCAGGACAGUGGAACCUAACCGGGAGAUGCCUGUGGUGGCAUCUGUGUUUUGCCUAAGGAAGACAUUCUCUGAUUCAGAGAUGACAGAAGUGGAAUCACCUUUCAAGAACCAGCAGACUCCGAGAAGCAAGUCAGGACCCGCUUGUAGGGAGGCCCCUUCCCACCCGAGUGGUUCCUGCUCAGCACGGGGCCUGGAGUAUGAGUCCUGUGCCUCCCCUCCAGGGCUCACCUCUCCUGAGCCAUCUUGUCUGUGGUGACCUUCAUCAUGGCCUGGAUCCGCUCCAGCCUCUUGGCCUCCAGCUUCUUCUUCAUCUCUUUGGUGUCACUGCAGAGAAACAGGCAUCAGGAAGAAGUUUCCUUCCGCCUGAGACUUCCUAGAAGCUCCAUCAUCUUGGUCAUUUGCUGAGGGAAAGGAAGAACCGGCUAAGCCAAGCAGAAGAGAAGCCCUUCCAUGUGCAAUGUGCCGAAGCUGCCAGGCUAGGAUGUGCCUAUGCGUGCAGUGGCGAGGUCAAGACCCUUCGGAUAGGUGGGAGGACCCCGAGUGCGUACCUGCUGACCCAUUGCUUGUUGGACCCGAUGCCCCAUUGACCUGGUUGGCAGGGUGAUUCCCAAGAGGGAAGGGACUCUGUAGGAAGAGUGGAUUGGGAAGGUGCCUCUUGCCCUGAGCCGGGAGUCGCCCCCACCCUCAUCUUCCCGCAGAUGGGGCAGGCCUGUGCGGGGCGCUGGCAGGAGCCCUGACAACACAGACCUCGGGCUGGCCUCCCAUGGCUUCCUUGAGCUUCACAGACUUCUUAUCAUGGGCACUGAAGAACUUGAUAGGGUUAGCGAGGGCCACCGUGAGAUCUGGGUGCACAGGGACAUGGUGGACCUGGUGAGGAGAUGUGCUUCGGAGCCUCUCCCAUCCUCACCUGCCCCAGGAUGCCCUGUUCUGCCUUCCUCUGGAGGCUGGCUUGAGGAGAAAGGAGAGAGGAUGGACAGCCUGGGGCUCCCAGCGUUCCAUGGGCCUCCUACCUGCCCAGGUGUCAGGCACAUAGUCCUUCAUCUCCAGGAAGACAAAGAGCGCUGGCAUGGUGAGCGGCAUGUUGCUCUCAUUGUGCAGACAGAGAUGGUGGUAUCCUGUGGGACAUGACCAGGUGACCAGUGAGCCAGAGCCCACUGCUUCCAGCACUGCUCACCAGCAGCCCAGUACUCAACACUCCUGCCUUUAGUCUGGUUCCUGGCUGUGUGAUCUUGAGUAGAUUACUUUAAAUCUCUGAGACUUUCCACAUCUGUGAAAUGGGGGUAACAGUGUCUACCUCAUGUGGUUGUGUGCAUGCUAAGUGGAGUCAGUCGUGUCCGACUUUGCGACCCUAUGGACGGUAGUCCAUCAGGCUCCUCUGUCCCUGGGAUACUCCCAGGCAAGACUACUGGAGUGGAUUGCGAUGCCCUCCUCCAGGGGAUCUUCCCGACCUAGGGAUCGAACCUGUGUUUCCUGCAGCUCCUGCAUUGCAAGCAGAUUCUUUACUACUGAGCCCCUGGGGAAGCCCACUUCAUGUAGUUAUUCUCUAAAUAAAGUGAGAAUGUGUUAUAA